rnacentral:rRNA from 1 species
GACGAACGCUGGCGGCGUGCUUAAUACAUGCAAGUCGAACGGAAAGGCCCUGCUUUUGUGGGGUGCUCGAGUGGCGAACGGGUGAGUAACACGUGAGUAACCUGCCCUUGACUUUGGGAUAACUUCAGGAAACUGGGGCUAAUACCGGAUAGGAGCUCCUGCUGCAUGGUGGGGGUUGGAAAGUUUCGGCGGUUGGGGAUGGACUCGCGGCUUAUCAGCUUGUUGGUGGGGUAGUGGCUUACCAAGGCUUUGACGGGUAGCCGGCCUGAGAGGGUGACCGGCCACAUUGGGACUGAGAUACGGCCCAGACUCCUUCGGGAGGCAGCAGUGGGGAAUAUUGCAAAAUGGGCGGAAGCCUGAUGCAGCAACGCCGCGUGCGGGAUGACGGCCUUCGGGUUGUAAACCGCUUUCGCCUGUGACGAAGCGUGAGUGACGGUAAUGGGUAAAGAAGCACCGGCUAACUACGUG